UGGGGAAUAUUGGACAAUGGGCGCAAGCCUGAUCCAGCCAUGCCGCGUGAGUGACGAAGGCCUUAGGGUUGUAAAGCUCUUUUGGCGGGGAAGAUAAUGACGGUACCCGCAGAAUAAGCUCCGGCUAACUUCGUGCCAGCAGCCGCGGUAAUACGAAGGGAGCUAGCGUUGUUCGGAAUCACUGGGCGUAAAGCGCACGUAGGUGGGCAGUUAAGUCAGAGGUGAAAUCCCGGAGCUCAACUUCGGAACUGCCUUUGAUACUGGCAAUUUAGAGUCCGGAAGAGGUUAGUGGAAUUCCCAGUGUAGAGGUGAAAUUCGUAGAUAUUGGGAAGAACACCAGUGGCGAAGGCGGCUAACUGGUCCGGUACUGACGCUGAGGUGCGAAAGCGUGGGGAGCAAACGGGAUUAGAUACCCCCGUAGUCCCUGAGCGGGCUGGCAAGGCGCAU
rnacentral:rRNA from 1 species